ACGAUAUGCUUUGGGGAGCUGUAAGUAAGCUUUGAUCCAGAGAUUUCCGAAUGGGGAAACCCAGCAUGAGUUAUGUCAUGUUAUCGAUAUGUGAAUACAUAGCAUAUCAGAAGGCACACCCGGAGAACUGAAACAUCUUAGUACCCGGAGGAAGAGAAAGAAAAUUCGAUUCCCUUAGUAGCGGCGAGCGAAACGGGAAGAGCCCAAACCAACAAGCUUGCUUGUUGGGGUUGUAGGACACUCUAUACGGAGUUACAAAGGACGACAUUAGACGAAUCAUCUGGAAAGAUGAAUCAAAGAAGGUAAUAAUCCUGUAGUCGAAAAUGUUGUCUCUCUUGAGUGGAUCCUGAGUACGACGGAGCACGUGAAAUUCCGUCGGAAUCUGGGAGGACCAUCUCCUAAGGCUAAAUACUCUCUAGUGACCGAUAGUGAACCAGUACCGUGAGGGAAAGGUGAAAAGCACCCCGGAAGGGGAGUGAAAUAGAACCUGAAACCGUGUGCUUACAAGUAGUCAGAGCCCGUUAAUGGGUGAUGGCGUGCCUUUUGUAGAAUGAACCGGCGAGUUACGAUUUGAUGCAAGGUUAAGCAGUAAAUGUGGAGCCGUAGCGAAAGCNNNNNNNNNNNNNNNNAGUCUGAAUAGGGCGUUUAGUAUUUGGUCGUAGACCCGAAACCAGGUGAUCUACCCUUGGUCAGGUUGAAGUUCAGGUAACACUGAAUGGAGGACCGAACCGACUUACGUUGAAAAGUGAGCGGAUGAACUGAGGGUAGCGGAGAAAUUCCAAUCGAACCUGGAGAUAGCUGGUUCUCUCCGAAAUAGCUUUAGGGCUAGCCUCAAGUGAUGAUUAUUGGAGGUAGAGCACUGUUUGGACGAGGGGCCCCUCUCGGGUUACCGAAUUCAGACAAACUCCGAAUGCCAAUUAAUUUAACUUGGGAGUCAGAACAUGGGUGAUAAGGUCCGUGUUCGAAAGGGAAACAGCCCAGACCACCAGCUAAGGUCCCAAAAUAUAUGUUAAGUGGAAAAGGAUGUGGCGUUGCCCAGACAACUAGGAUGUUGGCUUAGAAGCAGCCAUCAUUUAAAGAGUGCGUAAUAGCUCACUAGUCGAGUGACACUGCGCCGAAAAUGUACCGGGGCUAAACAUAUUACCGAAGCUGUGGAUUGUCCUUUGGACAAUGGUAGGAGAGCGUUCUAAGGGCGUUGAAGCAUGAUCGUAAGGACAUGUGGAGCGCUUAGAAGUGAGAAUGCCGGUGUGAGUAGCGAAAGACGGGUGAGAAUCCCGUCCACCGAUUGACUAAGGUUUCCAGAGGAAGGCUCGUCCGCUCUGGGUUAGUCGGGUCCUAAGCUGAGGCCGACAGGCGUAGGCGAUGGAUAACAGGUUGAUAUUCCUGUACCACCUAUAAUCGUUUUAAUCGAUGGGGGGACGCAGUAGGAUAGGCGAAGCGUGCGAUUGGAUUGCACGUCUAAGCAGUAAGGCUGAGUAUUAGGCAAAUCCGGUACUCGUUAAGGCUGAGCUGUGAUGGGGAGAAGACAUUGNGUCUUCGAGUCGUUGAUUUCACACUGCCGAGAAAAGCCUCUAGAUAGAAAAUAGGUGCCCGUACCGCAAACCGACACAGGUAGUCAAGAUGAGAAUUCUAAGGUGAGCGAGCGAACUCUCGUUAAGGAACUCGGCAAAAUGACCCCGUAACUUCGGGAGAAGGGGUGCUCUUUAGGGUUAACGCCCAGAAGAGCCGCAGUGAAUAGGCCCAAGCGACUGUUUAUCAAAAACACAGGUCUCUGCUAAACCGUAAGGUGAUGUAUAGGGGCUGACGCCUGCCCGGUGCUGGAAGGUUAAGAGGAGUGGUUAGCUUCUGCGAAGCUACGAAUCGAAGCCCCAGUAAACGGCGGCCGUAACUAUAACGGUCCUAAGGUAGCGAAAUUCCUUGUCGGGUAAGUUCCGACCCGCACGAAAGGCGUAACGAUUUGGGCACUGUCUCAACGAGAGACUCGGUGAAAUCAUAGUACCUGUGAAGAUGCAGGUUACCCGCGACAGGACGGAAAGACCCCGUGGAGCUUUACUGUAGCCUGAUAUUGAAAUUCGGCACAGCUUGUACAGGAUAGGUAGGAGCCUUUGAAACGUGAGCGCUAGCUUACGUGGAGGCGCUGGUGGGAUACUACCCUAGCUGUGUUGGCUUUCUAACCCGCACCACUUAUCGUGGUGGGAGACAGUGUCAGGCGGGCAGUUUGACUGGGGCGGUCGCCUCCUAAAAGGUAACGGAGGCGCUCAAAGGUUCCCUCAGAAUGGUUGGAAAUCAUUCAUAGAGUGUAAAGGCAUAAGGGAGCUUGACUGCGAGACCUACAAGUCGAGCAGGGUCGAAAGACGGACUUAGUGAUCCGGUGGUUCCGCAUGGAAGGGCCAUCGCUCAACGGAUAAAAGCUACCCCGGGGAUAACAGGCUUAUCUCCCCCAAGAGUUCACAUCGACGGGGAGGUUUGGCACCUCGAUGUCGGCUCAUCGCAUCCUGGGGCUGUAGUCGGUCCCAAGGGUUGGGCUGUUCGCCCAUUAAAGCGGUACGCGAGCUGGGUUCAGAACGUCGUGAGACAGUUCGGUCCCUAUCCGUCGUGGGCGUAGGAAAUUUGAGAGGAGCUGUCCUUAGUACGAGAGGACCGGGAUGGACAUACCUCUGGUGUACCAGUUGUCGUGCCAACGGCAUAGCUGGGUAGCUAUGUGUGGACGGGAUAAGUGCUGAAAGCAUCUAAGCAUGAAGCCCCCCUCAAGAUGAGAUUUCCCAACUUCGGUUAUAAGAUCCCUCAAAGAUGAUGAGGUUAAUAGGUUCGAGGUGGAAGCAUGGUGACAUGUGGAGCUGACGAAUACUAAUCGAUCGAAGACUUAAUCAA
rnacentral:rRNA from 1 species